UACGUAGGGGGCAAGCGUUGUCCGGAAUCAUUGGGCGUAAAGCGCGUGUAGGCGGCCCGGUAAGUCCGCUGUGAAAGUCCAGGGCUCAACCCUGGGAUGCCGGUGGAUACUGUCGGGCUCGAGUCCGGAAGAGGCGAGUGGAAUUCCUGGUGUAGCGGUGAAAUGCGCAGAUAUCAGGAGGAACACCAAUGGCGAAGGCAGCUCGCUGGGACGUGACUGACGCUGAGGCGCGAAAGCGUGGGGAGCAAACAGG
rnacentral:rRNA from 1 species